ensembl:lncRNA
GGGAUGAUGGCAUGGCAUCAAAAAAUGUGCCGGAUGAGUUGACUGAAGUGGUGGAUGUUGAAGUCCAGCAACGAGAGGGCCAGGAACCACCUGUGGUUACUGUGAUGGAGGAUGUAGACACUGAAUCCUUUGAUUCAGAUGCUGCAUCAAGUUACACCAACAAUGAAAACAUGAAAAUGAAGAUGCUCAAAAUGAAAAUAAAGGCAUUGGAGGAAGAGAGGGACUUCCUCCGAACAACUAUUACCCAGACAAAGAACUUCUUCAGGACCAAGUCCUAGCUCAUCUGUGGGUGACAACAUUGCCAAGCUUGAGGAUCAGUGGGAUGACAGCUCUGAUUCUUCGAGCUCUGAUAGCUCUUCAUCCACAGACAGCGAAAUAGAAAAGAAAAAGAAAAACAAGCAGAAGAAGAAAAAGAACAAAAACAAGAAGGGA